UGUCAGAUUUCCACCAUCAUCUAACCCACAGUACCUGCUCCUGUCUGUGUGCAUUCGCCAGGAUUCAUCAUGUGAUUAUCUGAAAUUACUACCAAAAUCGUAACCUUUUCAAUGAUGAGUUUUUCUUCCCUAGAGAUUUGCAGGCAAUAGAAAAGGACUUCAGCAUUGGAGAAGCAACCUUGGAGAAUUCAGAAUCAAUAGGUAAGUACCGUUCAAUCUCUCUGAGUUCCCAUAGGCUCAGGUUAGUUGAUUCUGUAGGUUUUCAUGUGGUGUCCAUGACUGCUCUGGCUCCUUUAAUCUC
rnacentral:lncRNA from 1 species